rnacentral:rRNA from 1 species
GAUGAACGCUAGCGGGAGGCUUAACACAUGCAAGUCGAGGGGUAAAUGGUAGCAAUACUAUGAGACCGGCGGACGGGUGCGUAACGCGUAUGCAACAUACCUUGUGCAGGGGGGAUAGCCCGUGGAAACGCGGAUUAAUAUUCCAUAGUCCAGCUAUAUCGCAUGGUAUAGUUGGUAAAGAUUUAUCGGCACAAGUUUGGCAUGCGUCUGAUUAGCUUGUUGGUAGGGUAACGGCCUACCAAGGCUACGAUCAGUAGGGGUUCUGAGAGGAUUAACCCCCACACUGGUACUGAGACACGGACCAGACUCCUACGGGAGGCAGCAGUGAGGAAUAUUGGUCAAUGGGCGGAAGCCUGAACCAGCCAUCCCGCGUGAAGGAAGACAGCCUUACGGGUUGUAAACUUCUUUUCUGUCAGAAGAAUAAGCUUGUCGAGACGAGUGAUGCCGGUAUGACAGGAAUAAGCAUCGGCUAACUCCGUGCCAGCAGCCGCGGUAA